UACGUAGGGUGCGAGCGUUAAUCGGAAUUACUGGGCGUAAAGCGUGCGCAGGCGGUUUUGUAAGCCAGAUGUGAAAUCCCCGGGCUUAACCUGGGAAUGGCAUUUGGGACUGCAAGGCUGGAGUUUGGCAGAGGAGACUGGAAUUCCUGGUGUAGCAGUGAAAUGCGUAGAUAUCGGAAGGAACACCUGUGGCGAAAGCGGCUCACUGGACCAUUACUGACGCUGAGGCACGAAAGCUAGGGGAGCAAACAGG
rnacentral:rRNA from 1 species